rnacentral:rRNA from 1 species
GUGCAGCAGGCGCGAAACCUUUACACUGCACGCAAGUGCGAUAAGGGGACCCCAAGUGCGAGGGCAUAUAGUCCUCGCUUUUCUCGACUGUAAGGCGGUCGAGGAAUAAGAGCUGGGCAAGACCGGUGCCAGCCGCCGCGGUAAUACCGGCAGCUCAAGUGAUGACCGAUAUUAUUGGGCCUAAAGCGUCCGUAGCCGGCCACGAAGGUUCAUCGGGAAAUCCGCCAGCUCAACUGGCGGGCGUCCGGUGAAAACCACGUGGCUUGGGACCGGAAGGCUCGAGGGGUACGUCCGGGGUAGGAGUGAAAUCCCGUAAUCCUGGACGGACCACCGAUGGCGAAAGCACCUCGAGAAGACGGAUCCGACGGUGAGGGACGAAAGCUAGGGUCUCGAACCGGAUUAGAUACCCGGGUAGUCCUAGCUGUAAACGAUGCUCGCUAGGUGUGACACGAGGCUACGAGCCUGUGUUGUGCCGUAGGGAAGCCGAGAAGCGAGCCG